GACGUAGGGCGCGAGCGUUGUCCGGAUUUAUUGGGCGUAAAGAGCUCGUAGGCGGUCUGUCGCGUCGGAUGUGAAAACCCAGGGCUCAACCCUGGGCCUGCAUUCGAUACGGGCAGACUAGAGUUCGGUAGGGGAGACUGGAAUUCCUGGUGUAGCGGUGAAAUGCGCAGAUAUCAGGAGGAACACCGGUGGCGAAGGCGGGUCUCUGGGCCGAAACUGACGCUGAGGAGCGAAAGCGUGGGGAGCAAACAGG
rnacentral:rRNA from 1 species